rnacentral:lncRNA from 1 species
GUCAGGAAGAUGGGAACUGCCCUGCAGCCUUGAUGGGAAGUCUCUGCUGCUCCUUUCUUGUUGGCCUGAAAGGAGGCAGGCAGGCAGGCAGGCAGGCACACAGCUCCUGCCCUUUCAGACAGAAAUGCCUACAGAGCUGCUAUUGUUUCCUGCAGGUGGAAGACUUGGGGCAGCAUAGUUAACCCAGAGGUCACCCGAGGCUCAGCGUGGUAAGGGAGACGCUGCAGCUGGCAGCACUGACCGGGCAGCGUGAGGUUCGAGGGGCCCGCGGUGGACAAGUGUGAAGUCCUAAUGAAUCACGUCAGCUGUGAACUUGGGAUUCUCAACAAACAGCUGCUUGUGCCUGGCUCAGUCCUUGGGGAAGCAGGUGGUGGUGACGGAGGAUGGCCUGCCCCGACCUGCCUCCAUUAGCUGUAAUUAUGCUUCUGAUUUCUGCUCGGGGCAGCCCGGAGUGAUCAAGGCCUGCCACGAUGAUCAGGGAUCCUCGUUUUCAGACGGCGGUCAGUCAACUGUGAAAAUGGGUCACAGUUGGCAACAGCAGAAGGAGUACGAAGCCUGAAGCAAUUUUUCUCUGAAAUCAGUUUCUAAAUUGCAGGGAGUCCAAGUAAAUUGACACAUUUACUAGCUUGAGCCCCUGUUCCCGUUGCUGCUUCAUUGGCUCGGCCAGGCUGCCUGUUGCUGAAGUUGGUCUCCCGGCGUGAGAGUGGGCUUCCAAGCUCGGGACUGGAGGAGGCCCUGAUCGUCAGGAGGCAGUCACCCGCACUCAGGUGACAACCUCUGUGCACGUGCAGAUUUUCAUUGCCAGCGUUAAAGAGUACAUUGCAGCAUAAUGUACUAAAAACAUUUUUCAUAGAAGAAGUCUAUAACCCGCAGGGGAAAUCCUUGUAAAAUAAAAAGCAAGUAAGUACCAAGUGCUUACUCCAAAAUAAAUACAACAGGCUCUCUUCCAGUCCACCCUCCUGGAUAGAGAAAGCCACCUUCUUAGGCAACAGAAUUCUCCUGUAAUUCAGCUGAUUUAAAUUCUAAGGGGUUUCCUUCACUAAUCAAAAAAGUGAAAUUAAAUAACAGAGGGCCCUCAGGAGUUUAGCAUUUGAUUUGUUGCUUAGCAUUUACAGCAGCAUCUUCCUCACUAGGAGUCUGUGCCACUGGCCUGACUGGGAAGUCUGCAGGCAAUCAGGAAGGAAUAGUCCUUAACAAAAGACACUGCAUGCAGUGAAGAGCUUGGGGCUGGAAGUGCAGGUACAAGCAGGGAUUCAGGCUGGCAGGAAUUCAGAUCCUAGUUCAGCCACUUAGUGCUUGGUGACUGUGAUCAAGGAACUUUAUUUUUCUAAACCCCAGAUUUUUCAUCACCGGGGAUGGUAACCCCUGUCUAACGGUUAGUUUGGGAUUAAGUGAUGGAUAUAAUAGCCCUGGUAUACUGCAAAUGCUUAGUGUUAGCUACUUUUAGUGCUCACUAGAGAACAACAUGAGCACAUUUUCCAUUUACUAUGCUGAGAGAGCCCAGAUAAUGGGCGAUUUCAUCCUGGUAUCAUCCAAGAUGUGUGCUUUGACUGUGUUUCCAUCCUCUACAUGAAGUCACAAAGCCAACCAGGUAAGGGCCUUCCAGUUGCCCACAGUAGACCUUCGGAACUCUGACUUUUGCUCCUUUGCCACUGUCUUCCUCUUCCGUUUCUCCUCUCCAUUUCUCCUCAGGCACUAGCCGAAGUCUUGCCUCUUCUGGGAAGCCUUCCCUGAAUCCAAGGAUCUCUUCUUCCUUGGAAUUCCUAGAGUAUUAGUGGCAACUCAGUGUAACAUGGUGAUACUAAUUAGCUUCAGCUGAAUCUCUGUCUUUCCUUAAGCCAGAUGGCCAUAAUUUUUAGGGCAUGAGUGAUUCUUUGUACUUCUUUGCUUUCUUUGAGUCCAAAGUUUGGCUCAAAAUAGUUGCUUAGUAGAUGCCUGUUAAUUUGUAGAUUGAUGUAAAAACACAGAGCUGAAGAGUUGAGCAAAGCUCAGCAUUUGUUCUGAUUGUUUUUAGCAUUGACACUAGGCACAUCCUGCUGGGCACAUAGAGUGUGUAAUGAUCAAAACAUGUAAUUCUAUUUAUUUCACUUAAGAGUAUACUGAAUAGUUUCUCUAGCAUGAGAAGCUGAAAGUGUAAAUAAGGAUUAAAAUGAUUAAAAUAAAUAAUUGAUAAUUUGAAAUAGGAAGAAAAGGUCCAAAGGGGUAGAGGUGGUGGGAGGGGAAGGGGAAAGGAAAGAAGGGAAAGGCAAAAUGAUGAGAAAAGAAAAAAAAUGGAAACAAAGUCUAUGUAAAUAGGGAAGGGUGGAAGGGGUGAAGGGAGCACAGGGAAUGGGGAAAAAAUAAGAACCAAGGUACAUCAUGUACAGGUACAAGCACCCAAUGAUAAAUGUAAAUGUAUUGUACACCUAAAAUGUACCAAUAAAAAAAUUUAAGGAAAA